CCAUACCUUAAACCAUCCCCUCUAAUUAUUACUCUUUUCACAAAAGAUAUUUUUGAAACUCUUCACCUGCAACAAGUUGGGACACAUUUAUAAAGAACUACUUUGUCUUGCCCCAAGAAGAAAAAUCCAACGCCACCCUCCUUUGUCUUCGCUUUCCUAAUUAAGCUAAUUUCUGGCUGCCCUCUAGCCUCUCCGAGCGACCUCUUUUUGAGCACCAAAUACAAAUCCAAGCCUGCCUUUGUCCGUCUCUAAGCACAGUCGACCAAAACAUCACGGAACCCAUCAUCUGCUGCUGUUACCACACGCGAUCACCACCGUAGCCGUCGCCACUGCAGCACCAACGAACGUCCGUGAACCAACCGCAGGAUCUCAUACUCGUUGAGGACAACUCGUAUCUAUAUCGUUUUGCUAAAUUGACUAAAGGUUCUCAGGGUACUCAGGGCGGGGUGUGAAGAGAGAAGAAUUGAGCUCUAGGACUUUUAAUCAGAGGAAAUUAGUCAUUUUUGUAGCAUAUGCUAGCUUAUCUAUUUUGACCACCCUCUAAUAUGUAAUAAACUUUACCCUAGGGCUCUUGUACAUUC